rnacentral:lncRNA from 1 species
CUUCCGCUUUAAGGACAAUCUUUUCCCAGCUGCGUUCUAUCCGACUAGAAAGUUUCGAGAGCUCGUCUCUGAUGCGAGAUGUGUCCGUACGUUUCUGAAAGAAGAUCGGUGCGCCCCCGUUUGAAGACAAGCUCUUUAUUUUUCCUCGUUUUUGCGACGUUUACGCGACACAAUGGUGGGAAAUUUUCUUCCGGAAGUAGCGCUCCUCCUUGCGACUUCUGCCUCGCGAAAGCGGAAAGGGAUUCAGCAGAGCGCUAUUCGUCCAGAAACUCUUUUCAAGCCGGAACAAAACGAUAAUUGACACAGUCUAGUCGGCUUUCGUUCUUCGGGAAUCGAAGAGGUUGACAACCGUCAUUUGGAGCACGCACACGAGAGAAGGAAAGAGAGAAAGAGAGAGAAAGACGACAGGCGCGAGGAAAUACACGGGUAUAAGUCAGCCGUAAAUCCAUCAAUAUAUCUUUCGAUCGAUGAGGAUCAACAAGCGGAAAUGUCGUGCAAUCUAGGGGAAUGGAUAUUCAGUGGAUUUGUUUUCGAUUGGCUUUUCCACGCGAGGCAUUGCUGACGGCACGAGUGAGAGGAAACGGGAAAGGAAGAGAAAAAGAGAAGGAGAGAGAGAGAGAAAGAGAGGGAGAGCGAUGAGGCGAUAGAAGGCAGAGAGGGGUUGGCAUAAAUAUUAAUAUAAUAGCACUGAUUGCGCUAGAUCGCGGGGGUGCGAGAGCGUACGACACGUUGCAAAUAACACGCGACGGGGAAGUGCGGCGAGGAGAGUGACACAACGAGAGAGGAUGCGAAAGAGAAGAGGAGCGAAAAGAGAGAGCGCGAGUUGGUUAUGUCGGUAGCAUAGUGACAUAUCCGAGAGCAACAACGUGAUGACGCGAGAGCGAGAGCAAAGGGGUGACAAAAGGGGGUGGAGGGUCGGCAAAAGGGACGAAGUGCGAUGAGCAGAGAGAGAGAGAGAGGAGGGAGAAAAAGAGAGGGAGAAUGCGAGAAACCAGGAGGGAGAUAAAUAGACAGAUAGAUGGAUAGAGAAAGAGAGGCACCAACGAAGAGAACGGGAGGAGGAAAGAGAGGGAAAACUGUUCCACGUCGCGGGUGUCGGGGCUUUUCCGGGAGCGGGGAUGGCACCACGGGCAUUAAAUAUACACGCUGAUUUGUCGUCCGCGGAUUGUCACCUCUGAUAGCUUUCAUUUUGUUGUAUAUCGGUGCUCGCGCGAACGCCCGCGCUCUCGCGCCCCGCCGCGCUUUUCGACGUAAUUCGGCCCGCUUGAUUGACUUUUGAGCUGGCCUUUAUGACGAUAUCCGCCCCCCUCCCCUUUCCCCCUAACCCCAUCCUCGCUUUUCUCGUACCCCUUCCCCCCUCUCGACGAGGAUGGCGAUUUAUCGGGCACCGCGCGUUCGCUCUCGUUCUGCCCCGCUUUUCCGGACUAGGUUCGCUGAUCGGGUGCCCCUUCGUCAACCAACGAAUCUGGCGCCUAGGGCGCGACGUUUUCGGCAACGACACCACGGGGCAAACUGACAAUACAGGAGAGCGUGUCAAAAUGAUCGCGCGAGAGUACGCGACCGGCGAUGAUAUUCCCUCCUCUAUCCCCUGGCUUUUUCGGUAAAUUUAUACUUCAAUUCUAACGUCAAUCAGUGUAAAUCCGUAUUAUUCGGAAAAUACAAUUAGUGACGAAUAAUGACGAUGUGA